CAAGUGCCUGCUUGGGAUCCAGCUGUGCAAGCAGGAGCAGCAGCUUAUGCUUCAGUUCCUGGCACAUUUCCUGGUCAACCGUAUCCAGCGCCUCCAGUUCCCACAUAUGUCACUGCGGCAAUGCCUGUUGGAUCUUCUUCUCUUUCGCAAGGCAGCCCACUUUCUCCUGGUGUGGCUUCCAUGCCAAUGACUCGGCCAGGGGUUCAACCCAAUCUGCUCUCUGGUGGUGCUCCACCUCCAGGUCAGCCUUCUUAUUAUGGCCGAUGAUGUUGUAUCCUCUUUCGACAGUUUUUUGCCUUGCAAGCAUUUGUUUCUGGUAAAGAUUAUAAACCUUUUACUUGAAAAAAAAAAAAAAAGCAUAUUUGUUUUUCUUUUUGUUUUGUUUCUCUGCAGGAUGAGAUUGGUAUGCUAGAUGGAAUCUAUUUGUGAUCUUUUUCAA
rnacentral:misc_RNA from 1 species